GCGUAUUGGAAAAUGCGCCUGGGAACUAAA
rnacentral:rRNA from 1 species